UACAGAGGUCUCAAGCGUUGUUCGGAUUCAUUGGGCGUAAAGGGUGCGUAGGUGGCGCGGUAAGUCGGGUGUGAAAUUUCGGAGCUUAACUCCGAAACUGCAUUCGAUACUGCCGUGCUUGAGGACUUGGAGAGGAGACUGGAAUUUACGGUGUAGCGGUGAAAUGCGUAGAUAUCGUAAGGAAGACCAGUGGCGAAAGGCGGGUCUCUGGACAGUUCCUGACGCUGAGGCACGAAGGUCAGGGGAGCAAACGGG
rnacentral:rRNA from 1 species